UACGAAGGGGGCUAGCGUUGCUCGGAAUCACUGGGCGUACAGCGCACGUAGGCGGAUUCUUAAGUCAGGGGUGAAAUCCUGGAGCUCAACUCCAGAACUGCCUUUGAUACUGGGAAUCUCGAGUCCGGGAGAGGUGAGUGGAACUGCGAGUGUAGAGGUGAAAUGCGUAGAUAUUCGCAAGAACACCAGUGGCGAAGGCGGCUCACUGGCCCGGUACUGACGCUGAGGUGCGAAAGCGUGGGGAGCAAACAGG
rnacentral:rRNA from 1 species